GAUGAACGCUGGCGGCGUGCCUAAUACAUGCAAGUCGAGCGAACAGAUAAGGAGCUUGCUCCUUUGAAGUUAGCGGCGGACGGGUGAGUAACACGUGGGUAACCUACCUAUAAGACUGGGAUAACUUCGGGAAACCGGAGCUAAUACCGGAUAACAUUUAGAACCGCAUGGUUCUAAAGUGAAAGAUGGUUUUGCUAUCACUUAUAGAUGGACCCGCGCCGUAUUAGCUAGUUGGUAAGGUAACGGCUUACCAAGGCGACGAUACGUAGCCGACCUGAGAGGGUGAUCGGCCACACUGGAACUGAGACACGGUCCAGACUCCUACGGGAGGCAGCAGUAGGGAAUCUUCCGCAAUGGGCGAAAGCCUGACGGAGCAACGCCGCGUGAGUGAUGAAGGGUUUCGGCUCGUAAAACUCUGCUAUUAGGGAAGAACAAAUGUGUAAGUAACUGUGCACAUCUUGACGGUACCUAAUCAGAAAGCCACGGCUAACUACGUG
rnacentral:rRNA from 1 species